ensembl:lncRNA
CAUCGCCCUUGUAAGGAUCCUCUAAGAGUCUACAACUUUCUGAAAAGCAGACCUCCAGCUGGCAACUUCUGUUUGAAAAGGACUGCCUGAUACAAUUCAUUCUUGUUCAUCCUGAGCUCAAACUCAGCAUGAUCAAAACUACAGUUCCAAGAAGAGGCAAAGACCUGCUUAGGAUUCACAGUGGCUUUCUUCUGUUACUACUGUGUGGAAAACCCUAAAGCCCUAACGAUCUGCUCCCACCUUCAAGACAUAUGAACCUCUGAAGACAGGCAACUAUUUGUGUCUACUGAUUGAUGUCUGACAGGAACCCAGGUGUGCUGCUUUCGGGACUUGAGUGCUUUCUCUGCAUCCCACUUGUUGCAUAGAUAUCUACGGUCACUGAAAGAAACAAGGACUCUGUCCAUCACAAUGGCGUGGGUUGGGGGCAGAAGUUCUAGAUCUUUGGUACGGGGAGGGAGGUGUUUCAUGCCCUCCAUCUCAACCCAAAUAUAA